CUCUAAUUUCCUCUCGCAAGCAGCUAUGUGCUGACACAGUUCUACAGGAUCUAUGGCCCUGUCGUAAUGUCAGGAUUACUGUUUGAUCCAGCACGGAUGACAAAUAAGUAACGUAUUACCGGUCCUUAGAAUGGCCGGAUUUAACGUACAAAGAAUAGUCAAAAAUACUAGCCGAGGUCAGGGAACACAGAAAGGGACACAGCGAUGAGG